UACGGGGGGAGCAAGCGUUGUUCGGAUUUACUGGGCGUAAAGGGCGCGUAGGCGGUCAGCACAAGUCAGUUGUGAAAUCUCCGGGCUUAACUCGGAAAGGUCAACUGAUACUGUGCGACUAGAGUGCGGAAGGGGCAACUGGAAUUCUCGGUGUAGCGGUGAAAUGCGCAGAUAUCAGGAGGAACACCGGUGGCGAAGGCGGGUCUCUGGGCAGUAACUGACGCUGAGGAGCGAAAGCGUGGGGAGCGAACAGG
rnacentral:rRNA from 1 species